rnacentral:rRNA from 1 species
UAAGGAGGGCGCAAGCGUUGUUCGGAAUUACUGGGCGUAAAGCGCGUGUAGGCGGCCAGGUAAGUCGGAUGUGAAGGCCCGGGGCCCAACCCCGGAACUGCACCCGAUACUGCCUGGCUGGAGUCCCGGAGAGGAUGGCGGAAUUUCCGGUGUAGAGGUGAAAUUCGUAGAUAUCGGAAGGAACACCAGUGGCGAAGGCGGCCAUCUGGACGGUGACUGACGCUGAGACGCGAAAGCGUGGGGAGCAAACAGG